CGCGCGGGGCUGCGGCCGGGGUUGCGGGAGGCUGGCGCCGCGCGCCCCGAGGCGCCUCACGCCCCACCGCCCCGCGGAGCAGGUCGAGGCUGGGGGUCCGGCCCGAACUUCUCCUCAGGAGCCGGGCUCAGUGGAGGCCAAGAUUCGAAAGACCCUCGAAUAAGGGGAAAGACCUGGCUGCUCUACUUCCAAUCCAGCUCUCUGCUGAUGGCCUGGGAAAACAACAAAGGAUGCUCCAAGUGCUUGGGCCCCUGCACCCAUGUGGGAAACUCGAGUGAAGCUCCUGGCUCCUGGCUUUGGCCUGGCCCCAAACCAGUGCCCACCUGGACGCCAGCACUGCCAGUGCAUGCGGCAGCUCCAGCCACCAUGCUGCAGCACCAGCCUCAAAGGGAAGCUGAAAAAGGGUUGACACCCACCUACCCUCUGGAUGCUCUCUGCUGUGGCCUGGGAAAGCAGUAGAAGAUGGCCCAAGUCCUUGAGCCCUGCACCCCCAUGGGAGACCCAGAAGAAGCUCCUGGUUCCUGACUUUGGAUCUGUUCAGCUCUGGCCAUUGCAGCAAAUUGGGGAGUGAACCAGUGGAUAUCUCUUUCUCUCUGCCUCUCCUUCUUUCUCUGUGUAACUCUGCCUUUCAAAUAAAUAAAUAAAUCUUUAAAAAAAAAAGAAAGAAAAUAAAUUAAAAAGCCUAAAAAAUAUACUGUUAGAAGUAAUAAAUGAACAUAGCAUGGUUGCUAGAUUCAAAACCAGUUAACAAAAAUCAAUUAUAGGGCCGGCGCCAUGGCUCACUAGGCUAAUCCUCCGCCUUGCGGCGCCGGCACACCAGGUUCUAGUCCCGGUCGGGGCGCCGGAUUCUGUCCCGGUUGCCCCUCUUCCAGGCCAGCUCUCUGCUGUGGCCUGGGAGUGCAGUGGAGGAUGGCCCAAGUCCUUGGGCCCUGCACCCCAUGGGAGACCAGGAUAAGUACCUGGCUCCUGCCAUCAGAUCAGCGCAGUGCGCCGGCUGCAGCACGCUGGCCGCAGCGGCCAUUGGAGGGUGAACCAAUGGCAAAGGAAGACCUUUCUCUGUCUCUCUCUCACUGUCCACUCUGCCUGUCAAAAAAUAAAAAAUAAAAUAAAAAAAUAAAAAAUCAAUUAUAGAGGUCAGUGUUGUGGCAAUGGGUUAAGCCACUGCCUAUGAGACUGGUAUCACAUAUCACAAAUCCAGCUCCCCACUAAUGUUCUGGGAAAGCAGUGAAAGAUGGUCCAAGUACUUGGGUCCCAUAAGCAUGUGGGAGACCCAGAUGAAACUUCUGGCUCCAACUUACUGGUCUGGCCCAGCCCUAGCUGUUGCGACCAUUUGGGGAAUGAAUCAGAGGAUGAAAUAUCUUUCUCACCAUCUGUCCCUCUCACUAACUCUGCCUUUCAAAUAAAUAAACAAAUAUUUUUUAAAAAAUUAUAUUUUGGGGGCCAGCGCCGUGGCGCACUAGGUUAAUCUUCCGCCCGAGGUGCUGGGAUCCCACAUGGGCACCUGGUUCUAGUCCCGGUUGCUCCUCUUCCAGUCCAGCUCUCUGCUGUGGCCUGGGAUAGCAAUGGAGGAUGGCCCAAGUCCUUGGGCCUCUGUAGCCUCAUGGGAGACCAAGAAGAGACUCCUGGUUCCUGGCUUCAGAUCUGCGUAGCUCCGGCCGUUGCAGCCAUUUGGAGAGCGAGCCAACAGAAGGAAGACUUUCUCUCUGUCUCUCUCUCUCUGUCUCUCUCUCUCUCUCUCUCUCACUGUCUGUAAAUUCUACCUGUCAAAUAUAUAUAUAUAUAUUUGUCAUAUAUAUAUAUAUAUAUU